UAGACCACUCGGUCAGUCCUCUCCCAGUUCACUCUCUCAUCAUCCCUCUUCUCUCUCUCUCUCUCUGUCUCUCUUUCUCUCACUCCAUCGCAGGCUACCCUCCUGCCAGCCACCGUCCACCACUGUCGCACACGAGCACCCACCUCCUCACCGGCGACGGUACAACCCACCUCCCCACCAGCGACGGUACCACCCAUCUCCCCACCAGCGACGGACAACAGUAGCUACUCUGAUUUGUGUCUCCUCCAGCGCACACCAGAGGGUUGGAGCUUCUCUUCUAUCUAUUUCUCGCAAGAGCAGCGUUUUUUCUCUCUAUUUCUCACUCGCAACAACCAUUGGAGCACACACUCUUGAAGCACAGAACACAUUGAAGAAGCAUUCAAGGAGUUCACAACAAGAGAAGACGUUGCAAUAGUGAUGAUCAGCCAAUAUGAGGAUAUUAAACUUAUGAAGGUCAUGGGAAUGGAUGCCUACAGAUUCUCAAUUGCAUUGUUUGUACUCAUGGUAAACAUGUCCUCAUUUUCUUCAUUUUUCUCAAUACUUGAGUGUUUAUAUCAAAUUAAUUAUAUGAAUUUGUGACUCUACUCUUGGUUGUCAAACAUUAUUUGGAAAUUACUAAAAAAAUUUGUGGAUAAAUUACUUUGGCCGUCAAGGUUUGAGUCUACUUGCAUUUCUAGUGCUUACAGUUGAUGAAAUGACACUUUCUAGCUUAUAAAACUUUGUUUGGACUUUGGUUCAAUGCUUUUAUCAAUGGUGCAGCAUUGCACAUACAAGAAAAAUAUGCAUGUGAUCCUCACGUCAUGUACAUUUACUUAAUUGAUCAUUUCAACUGUUAUAGAUGUAGUGAUCAAACCAGUCUCAAGUUAGAUUCUAGAUGUAGAAUUAAGUAAAUUUAUGGGAGUGUGAUAGUCUUAGGUCAAUGAUGAGGUUGGUGAAGAGAUGGGUAGUUAGCGUGCCUUAAACUUAAAAAAAAAAAACACAUAGGACCUAUGGCAAAACACCUUAAUUGGCAUGCCUUAAACUUACCCCAAAAAGGGCGAUAAGGGGGCGAAUAUGGGAAACUGCCCCGAAUCACCGUACGGAUGUCACGACCACCUUCCCCGUGACAAAUAGAACCUGUCACAACAAACGGAAUGUCAUUAGCACACGCAGUUUGGGAGUUAGAGCCGAAAACUCAUUAAACUUAACCGAAAAAGGGCGAUAAGGGGGCAAAAAUACGAAACAACCCCCGAACCACCGUAC